UCUUUUCCAGUCUACCAUUUUGACAUAGUACAUGCUGUUGUUUCAACCAUGAAUCUGCAACACAGGAAAUGGUAAAAAGUCAUUUUUGGAAAACGGAAAAUGGAGAAGCAGCUCAUUACAAGUCACCAUUAAAAGGAGGAGAAAUUUUAGGAGAAAGCAAAACCUGUUAAGAUAAACAGAUACUGCCAAUGAGGUACUCUUUGCUAUAAGAUUCAUGACAUAGCAGUCUUUUGUAACUUUCUUUAUUGAAAUCCUUCAAUCACGAAGGUUAUAAUGAAAGGAGCAGUUAUCCUGUGCAGUGCAAAUACCGAGAAGUGUG
rnacentral:lncRNA from 1 species